AUGCCCAAGGUGCUCCUUGGCCCCCGCACACUCUCCUCCUGCACCCCAUCUUCCCCUGGUUGCCCCUCAGCUCCCCCGCUUCCCCAGUUUCCCCGUUACCCCCCCUCCCCUUGCUCU
rfam:Tupaia chinensis contig10397, whole genome shotgun sequence.